UACGAAGGGGGCUAGCGUUGCUCGGAAUCACUGGGCGUAAAGCGCACGUAGGCGGCUUCUUAAGUCAGGGGUGAAAUCCUGGAGCUCAACUCCAGAACUGCCUUUGAUACUGGGAGGCUCGAGUCCGGAAGAGGUGAGUGGAACUGCGAGUGUAGAGGCGAAAUUCGUAGAUAUUCGCAAGAACACCAGUGGCGAAGGCGGCUCACUGGUCCGGUACUGACGCUGAGGUGCGAAAGCGUGGGGAGCAAACAGG
rnacentral:rRNA from 1 species